CGGGGCUCGGGCCAACACAAUGCACCCGGGCCUAGGCCGGGGCGGCUCGAACACAUAACCUCGGGACUUUCUAGUAAACAGCUCGCCGUGCCCUCGUCCCCACCCCCAUCCCCGCUGCCGGGCUUUCGCCGCCGCCCCUCGCCGACACCCCCUCCUUCCCUCCUAAGAAAUCCCGGCGGAGGAGGGAGCCGCGAGGCAUGAAGAAAAGCCAGACCAAAACUGUUCUCACAGCGCUGCCGGUGGUCACAAAGAACAGCCCAUGGAGAUGUCUGUCACGGAAAGAGCAGCCUCUGGAAGAGAACCAAAGAGGAAAAGAGCGAUGGAGUGAAACUUGAUAAAAUAGUUGGAAUCGUUCAUCAGUGAAGCAAAGCUGGCUUCUGAGUCACGCAG